UUUGCCCGCGGCCUAUUUUUGGCACAUGGCGGCCCCUAGCAAUGUCUCGCGGCAUUCCGAGUCCGGCGGACGAAGUUGGCCAGCAUCAACCCCCAAGGCUAUAGCCCACCCGUUUUUGUGGCCUUUUUCCGCUGGACGAACUUGGUGCCCCGGCCUUCGGGCGGUUACAUUUAGGCGCGGCUUUUCCCGCGGCCUAUUUUUGGCACGCGGAGGCCCCUCGCAAAGUCUCACGGCAUUCCGAGUCCGGCGGACGAAGUUGGCCAGCAUCACCCCCCAAGGCUAUAGCCCACCCGUUUUUGUGGCCUUUUUCCGCUGGACGAACUUGGCGCCCCGGCCUUCGGGCGGUUAAUUUUGGGCGUGGCUUUGCCCGCGGCCUAUUUUUGGCACACGGCGGCCCCUAGCAAUGUCUCGCGGCAUUCCGAGUCCGGCGGACGAAGUUGGCCAGCAUCAACCCCCAAGGCUAUAGCCCACCCGUUUUUGUGGCCUUUUUCCGCUGGACGAACUUGGCGCCCUGGCCGUCGGGCGGUUAUUUUUGGGCGCGGCUUUGCCCGCGUCCUAUUUUUGGCACACGGAGGCCCCUCGCAAAGUCUCGCGGCAUUCCGAGUCCGGCGGACGAAGUUGGCCAGCCCCACCCCCAAAGGCUAUAGCCCACCCGUUUUUGUGGUCUUUUUCCGCUGGACGAACUUGGCGCCCCGGAACUUGCUGCUGCUACCUAUCUAUAAAAUCACUACAAAAUUUUAUCACUAUAUAACAUAAAAUUUUGAACCACGAACCUUUUAAACAUUCCAUGGCGUAUUUUUGGCACACGGGGGCCCCUCGCAAAGUCUCGCGGCAUUCCGAGUCCGGCGGACGAAGUUGGCCAGCCCCACCCCCCAAGGCUAUAGCCCACCCGUUUUUGUGGCCUUUUUCCGCUGGAAGAACUUGGCGCCCCGGCCUUCGGGCGGUUAACCAUGGGCGCGGCUUUGCCCGUGGCCUAUUGUUGUCACACGGAGGCCCCUCGUAAAGUCUCGCGGCAUUCCGAGUCCGGCGGACGAAGUUGGCCAGCCCCACCCCCCAAGGCUAUAGCCCACCUGUUUUUGUGGCCUUUUUCCGCUGGACGAACUUGGCGCACCGGCCGUCGGGCGGUUAUUUUUAGGCGCGGUUUUGCCCGCGGCCUAUUUUUGGCACACGGAGGCCCCUCGCAAAGUCUCGCGGCAUUCCGAGUCCGGCGGACGAAGUUGGCCAGCCCCACCCCCAAAAGCUAUAGCCCACCCGUUUUUGUGGCCUUUUUCCGCUGGACGAACUUGGCGCCCCGGCCUUCGGGCGGUUAUUUUUGGGCGCGGCUUUGCCCACGGCCUAUUUUUGGCACACAGAGGCCCCUCGCAAAGUCUCGCGGCAUUCCGACUCCGGCGGACGAAGUUGGCCAGCCCCACCCCCCAAGGCUANNNNNNNNNNNNNNNNNNNNNNNNNNNNNNNNNNNNNNNNNNNNNNNNNNNNNNNNNNNNNNNNNNNNNNNNNNNNNNNNNNNNNNNNNNNNNNNNNNNNCGCGGCCUAGCGACCGCACCGAUCCGAGGCCCCUCGCAAAGCCUCGCGGCAUUCCGAGUCUGGCGGACGAAGUUGGCCAGCCCCACCCCCCAAGGCUACAGCCCACCCGUUUUUGUGGCCUGUUUCAGCUGGACGAACUUGGCGCCCCGGCCGUCGGGCGGUUAUUUUUGGGCGCGGCUUUGUCCAUGGCCUAUAUUUGGCACACGGCGGUCUUUCAAUAAGUCUCGCGGCAUUCCGAGUCCGGCGGAUGAAGUUGGCCAGCCCCACCCCCCAAGGCUAUAGCCCGCCCGUUUUUGUGGCCUUUUUCCGCUGGACGAAGUUGGCGCCCCGGCCUUCGGGCGGUUAUUUUUGGGCGCGGCUUUGCCCGCGGCCUAUUUUUGGCACACGGAGGCCCCUCGCAAAGUCUCGCGGCAUUCCGACUGCAGCGGACGAAGUUGGCCAUCCCCACCCCCCAAGGCUAUAGCCCACCCGUUUUUGUGGCCUUUUUCCGCUGGACGAACUUGGUGCCCCGGCCUUCGGGCGGUUAAUUUUGGGCGUGGCUUUGCCCGCGGCCUAUUUUUGGCACAUGGCGGCCCCUAGCAAUGUCUCGCGGCAUUCCGAGUCCGGCGGACGAAGUUGGCCAGCAUCAACCCCCAAGGCUAUAGCCCACCCGUUUUUGUGGCCUUUUUCCGCUGGACGAACUUGGUGCCCCGGCCUUCGGGCGGUUACAUUUAGGCGCGGCUUUUCCCGCGGCCUAUUUUUGGCACGCGGAGGCCCCUCGCAAAGUCUCACGGCAUUCCGAGUCCGGCGGACGAAGUUGGCCAGCAUCACCCCCCAAGGCUAUAGCCCACCCGUUUUUGUGGCCUUUUUCCGCUGGACGAACUUGGCGCCCCGGCCUUCGGGCGGUUAUUUUUGGGCGCGGCUUUGCCCGCGGCCUAUUUUUGGCACACGGCGGGCCCUAGCAAUGUCUCGCGGCAUUCCGAGUCCGGCGGACGAAGUUGGCCAGCAUCAACCCCCAAGGCUAUAGCCCACCCGUUUUUGUGGCCUUUUUCCGCUGGACGAACUUGGCGCCCCGGCCUUCGGGCGGUUACAUUUAGGCGCGGCUUUGUCCGCGGCCUAUUUUUGGCACGCGGAGGCCCCUCGCAAAGUCUCGCGGCAUUCCGAGUUCGGCGGACGAAGUCGGCCAGCCCCACCCCCCAAGGCUAUAGCCCACCCGUUUUUGUGGCCUUUUUCCGCUGGACGAACUUGGCGCCCCGGCCGUCGGGGGGUUAUUUUUGGGCGCGGCUUUGCCCGCGGCCUAUUUUUGGCACACGGAGGCCCCUCGCAAAGUAUAGCGGCAUUCCGAGUCCGGCGGACGAAGUUGGCCAGCAUCACCCCCCAAGGCUAUAGCCCACCCGUUUUUGUGCCCUUUUUCCGCUGGAUGGCCUUGGCGCCCCGGCCUUCAGGCGGUUAUUUUUGGGCGCGGCUUUGCCCGCGGCCUGUUUUUGGCACACGGAGGCCCCUCGCAAAGUCUCGCGGCAUUCCGAGUGCGGCGGAUGAAGUUGGCCAGCCCCACCCCCCAAGGCUAUAGCCCACCUGUUUAUCUGGCCUUUUUCCGCUGGACGAACUUGGC
rnacentral:lncRNA from 1 species